CCUACGGGUGGCAGCAGUGGGGAAUAUUGGACAAUGGGGGGAACCCUGAUCCAGCCAUGCCGCGUGUGUGAAGAAGGCCCUCGGGUUGUAAAGCACUUUCAGUGAGGAAGAACGCCUGGUGGUUAAUACCCAUCAGGAAAGACAUCACUCACAGAAGAAGCACCGGCUAACUCCGUGCCAGCAGCCGCGGUAAUACGGAGGGUGCGAGCGUUAAUCGGAAUUACUGGGCGUAAAGCGCGCGUAGGUGGCUUGAUAAGCCGGUUGUGAAAGCUCCGGGCUCAACCUGGGAACGGCAUCCGGAACUGUCAAGCUAGAGUGCAGGAGAGGAAGGUAGAAUUCCCGGUGUAGCGGUGAAAUGCGUAGAGAUCGGGAGGAAUACCAGUGGCGAAGGCGGCCUUCUGGACUGACACUGACACUGAGGUGCGAAAGCGUGGGUAGCAAACAGGAUUAGAUACCCGAGUAGUC
rnacentral:rRNA from 1 species